rnacentral:rRNA from 1 species
AUUGAACGCUGGCGGCAUGCUUUACACAUGCAAGUCGAACGGUAACAGGGAGCUUGCUCCGCUGACGAGUGGCGAACGGGUGAGUAAUGCGUCGGAACGUGCCGAGUAGUGGGGGAUAACGCAUCGAAAGGUGUGCUAAUACCGCAUACGUACUGAGGUAGGAAGUGGGGGACCUUCGGGCCUCACGCUAUUCGAGCGGCCGACGUCUGAUUAGCUAGUUGGUGAGGUAAAGGCUCACCAAGGCGACGAUCAGUAGCGGGUCUGAGAGGAUGAUCCGCCACACUGGGACGGAGACACGGCCCAGACUCCUACGGGAGGCAGCAGUGGGGAAUUUUGGACAAUGGGCGCAAGCCUGAUCCAGCCAUGCCGCGUGUCUGAAGAAGGCCUUCGGGUUGUAAAGGACUUUUGUCCGGGAGCAAAUGCCUGGUGUUAAUAGCAUCGGGAGCUGAGAGUACCGGAAGAAUAAGCACCGGCUAACUACGUGCCAGCCGCCGCAGUAAGAC